rnacentral:RNase_P_RNA from 1 species
AUUGGUGAGUAAUCGCGGCUCAUGUUUACAUGAGUUGAGGAAAGUCCAGGCUCGCCCGGUGCUGAGAUGCCCGGAGUGUUCGUGCCAUCUGUAAAGGUGGGCAGCAGAAUUCGCACUGCUGACGGCGGGAAAAUCACGCUAAGUCCUUGAUGGAUAUGCUGAGAGUACCCUGAAAGUGCCACAGAGACGAGUUCUUCUGGAAACAGGAGAAAUGGAACGGGUAAACCCCACGAGCGAGCAACCCAAACUUUGGUAGGGGCACCAUUCUGAGGGAAUCAUGAACCAAACGGAUGGAUCGGUCUUCGUGACUGAUAGUCAUAUGAUUACACCUGUUAUGCGAGAUUGGCAUCGUUUGUAGCACACAGGAACAGAACCUGGCUUACAGCC